AUUGAACGCUGGCGGCAGGCUUAACACAUGCAAGUCGAGCGAGCGGCGGACGGGUGAGUAAUGUCUGGGAAACUGCCUGAUGGAGGGGGAUAACUACUGGAAACGUUAGCUAAUACCGCAUACCAUCAGAUGUGCCCAGAUGGGAUUAGCUAGUAGGUGGGGUAAUGGCUCACCUAGGCGACGUUCCCUAGCUGGUCUGAGAGGAUGACCAGCCACACUGGGACUGAGACACGGUCCAGACUCCGACGGGAGGCAGCAGUGGGGAAGCUUGAACAAUGGGCGCAGGCCUGAUGCAGACAUGCCGCGAGUGUGAAGAAGGCAUUCGGGUUGUAAAGCAAUGUCAGCGAGGAGGCGUUACUCGCAGAAGAAGCACCGGCUAACUCCGUGCCAGCAGCCGCGGUAAUUC
rnacentral:rRNA from 1 species